CCUACGGGAGGCAGCAGUGAGGAAUAUUGGUCAAUGGGCGCAAGCCUGAACCAGCCAUGCCGCGUGCAGGAAGAAUGCCCUAUGGGUUGUAAACUGCUUUUAUUUGGGAAUAAACCUCUUUACGAGUAGAGAGCUGAAGGUACCAAAUGAAUAAGCACCGGCUAACUCCGUGCCAGCAGCCGCGGUAAUACGGAGGGUGCAAGCGUUAUCCGGAAUCAUUGGGUUUAAAGGGUCCGCAGGCGGUCUUAUAAGUCAGUGGUGAAAGCCUAUUGCUCAACAAUAGAACUGCCAUUGAUACUGUUAGACUUGAAUUAGGUCGAAGUGGGCGGAAUAUGACAUGUAGCGGUGAAAUGCUUAGAUAUGUCAUAGAACACCGAUAGCGAAGGCAGCUCACUAGGCCUGUAUUGACGCUCAUGGACGAAAGCGUGGGGAGCAAACAGGAUUAGAUACCCUAGUAGUC
rnacentral:rRNA from 1 species